rnacentral:rRNA from 1 species
CCUGUUGAGCUUGACUCUAGUCUGGCAGUGUAAGGAGACAUAAGAGGUGUAGCAUAAGUGGGAGAUAAUUGGUUUAUUCCUUUUAUCAACAAUGAAAUACCACUACUCUUAUUGUUUCCUUACUUACUUGAUAAAAUGGAACAUGUAUUAUUUACUUAGCCAUUAUAUGGAUAUAUUUAUAUAUUUUAUGGUAUUUUGUUUUAAUACAAGUUUUUUGAUCAAAAUACAAAAAGUUUGUUAUAUACACCAAACAAAUUUUAAUGAAUUUUUUUAUAUAUAUAACACAAUAUAUUUAAAAUAGUAAUUAAAUUUGGUAUAACUCUUACACUGAGGUAUGAUCCAAUUCAAGGACAUUGCCAGGUGGGGAGUUUGACUGGGGCGGUACAUCUCUCAAAUAAUAACGGAGGUGUCCCAAGGCCAGCUCAGUGCGGACAGAAACCACACAUAGAGCAAAAGGGCAAAUGCUGACUUGAUCUCGGUAUUCAGUACAUACAGAGACAGCAAAAGCUCGGCUAUCG